rfam:Gossypium hirsutum cultivar TM-1 chromosome 10, whole genome shotgun sequence
GGGAAAAGAAGCCGUCAGGUUAGCCAAGGUGACUGCCUGGCACCAUGAAAAAGAUUCAUGGUUGAUACAGAGAUUUUAAACCUCUUUGAAAGAUGCAGGCAAGUCAUCCUUGGCUACCAAACACGACUCUUUUCA